UUUUUUUUCAUUUGAGUUUUUUGCCAUAUGCUUUGAUCUUUUUGUCAGGUACACAAAUUCAAUUAAAAAUAAUUACAAAAAUGAAAUUUCGAUAAUAUUAAUGUUUAUUAUUAAUUAAGUUUGUUUUUGACUUGGUUAAUAUGAAACAUUAUUUAAUUGAAAUUUUUAAUGUGAUUUCAAAUUGUACUGUGAUUUGAUUUGUGAAAAGUGAGCGGUGAGCAGUGAGGAGUGAAAAGUGAAGUGAAUUACUUGAUACUCUCUAUCUCCAAGUACAUCAAAAGUCAUUGACCUUCAACAAUGACUAGUGACUUGGCUGCAAUUUACAUUAGCUGUCUUAAGAACUAUGUGGAAGAUUCUAAGCGCUUUGUCAAAUCGUGAGAGUAUUUUUGAUUCAAUGGAAGCGCUUUUUGCAUCACAAGGGACUAACGUUAACAGAUGUCUAAGCGAGAUCCUAGCCUAACCUAAGUAUGUUAUGUAACUAAAAACGAAGGUUUUGAGCGUAGAAUAUAUUGAAAUAGGUUAAAGUAACGACGGCGUGUUCUUAACAAAAAUCUCUCGGGUCUAAAAAAUACUGUGGCUUUGAAUCGCAAGUUGUGUUAUUCAUCUUCUUUCUGUGGUUAAGUUUUCCAACUUUCUCUGGAUUGAGUUUGAUACUUUGAGCUUCAGAUAUGCACUUUGCUCCUUACAAAGCUGUUGGUAUACAUACAUACAUAUGUGCGCUGUGUGACGCCAAAAUAUUGCAUUUUAAAGAACCUCAUCACUUCAAGGUACACUAAUUCAAUUUAAUAUACAGACAUACAUAUACGCGGCAAUGGAGCUAUCUUUGUAAAUUUUCAUUUAUAUUUGUACUUAUUUUUAAAAAAUAAAUUCUUUAUUGAAUUGCAAAGUUUCCAAUUCUUUUUACAACACUGAAAUAGUCAUCGUUAUUGAUAUAUGUAAAUAAGCUUAUCAUUUCGACCGUUUUCUGUUUUGAAAUAAAAAAGUUUAAAACGAGAGCACAAGUUAAAUUCUUGUUUCUUCAAAAAUAUUGUCUGUGGCGGGGGGGAGAGUUAAAGUUGUGGAUAGGAUGUGAGACUUGUUUAGUUCGAAUGGCAGAUCCGACAGUUGGUUGCAAU